UUUCACUGAUCCCUGGGGUCCGAAACUUUCAGCUUGCACUUUGGUUUGGUAAACCACUGACUGUCCUACCAAACGCCCCCGCACCCCACAAACUCAACCUGUGCUCUUCAUGUGCUAUCUCCUGUUCGAUCCCCACACUGACCUUCUGGGUUAGGGACUUGCAUGUCCCCAUUUUAUAGAUGAGGAGCCUGAGGCCCAGAGAGGCUGGAGUGCAAUGGUAUGAUCUUGGCUCACUGCAACCUCCGCCUCCUGGAUUCAAGCAAUUCUCCUGCCUCAGCUUCCCAAAUAGAUUCCAGACAUUGUAUGGAAAAGCAUCGUGAAAAUCCCUGGCCUGUUCUGCUCUGUUCUGAUUACCGGUGCGUGCAGCCCGCAGUCACGUACCCGCUGGUUGCUCAAUCGAUCACGACCCUCUCACACGGACCCCCUUAGAGCUGUAAGCCCUUAAAAGGGACAGGAAUUGCUCGCUCGGGGAGCUCGGUUUUUGGAGACGUGAGUCCGCCGGUGCUCCCAGCUGAAUAAAGCCCUUUCCUUCCAC
rnacentral:lncRNA from 1 species